rnacentral:misc_RNA from 1 species
UCAAACUUGGUCAUUUAGAGGAAGUAAAAGUCGUAACAAGGUUUCCGUAGGUAAGUAAAAGCUUUCCAUCUUACACAACCCCCUUACUAUGGAUUGAAUAAUGUGCUGACUUGUCCCUUUUAGGUGAACCUGCGGAAGGAUCAUUAAUGAAAUCAUAUUCUCCUUUGGAGUUUCUUCUAGCUGAUGCGUCUUUUGGCUGCACGCUGUUGUCACUCUUUAGGGGUUAUAUUUCCACAAACCCUUCUGUGCAUAUUGGGAGGCUUUAUUGUCCUCUCCUAAUUCACAUACUCUAAUGUUUAAUCAUGUCAUACAAUGUUAUAAAUACAUUAAACAACUUUCAACAACGGAUCUCUUGGCUCUCGCAUCGAUGAAGAACGCAGC